GACGAACGCUGGCGGCGUGCCUAAUACAUGCAAGUCGAACGCAGUGGGUACGGGUGAGUAACACGUGGGUAACCUUCCAUCAGAGGGGAUAACACUUGGAAACAGGUGCUAAACCGAUCCUGAUGGAUUGACCCGCGGUUCAUUAGCUAGUUGGUGAGGUAACGGCCUACCAAGGCGACGCUCCGUAACGGGUCUGAGAGGAUGAUCAGCCACAAUGGAACUGAGACACGGUCCAGACUCCUACGGGAGGCAGAAGUGGGGAAUAUUGGACAAUGGGCGAAAGCCUGAUCCAGCCAUGCAGCGUGUGUGAAGAAGGUCUUCGGAUUGUAAAGCACUUUAAGUUGGGAGGCGUUACCAACAGAAUAAGCACCGGCUAACUUCGUGCCAGCAGCCGCGGUAAUAC
rnacentral:rRNA from 1 species